AGGGGAUCAGAUUAGUGGAGGGUGUACUAGUGGUACUCCUAAGUUCUCUCAAAAUGUCAUCCCUUAGAGCUCUAAGUUGCUCACCACUAAGCCUAACCUCAAGGGGCUACUGAGAUGGUGGCACAGUGGAUGAGGGUCCAACAGUGGAUGAAGGGCCAACAGUGGAUGGGAAGGUGGAGGGAUCUACGGAGGUAUUCGGUUCAGGUUCAGAAGUGGAAGAGUGAGGAGCAGUGGGGUCAGAUGGUAUGGAGAAAAAAGUUUUUCUAACCCAGCUACCCUCCACCUUAUGGAAUCACAUUCAGUGGAGAGUCCCCUCGCCCAUAUGGUUAGUGUAGCGAAGUGAACGAGAGGGUUCCCCUUCAAGGAUAGGGACCUCAAACUCUCUAAAGAUCAAGGUAAAGAUCAUACCAUAGGGAAGACUCAGUCUAGGUUUGUCCAAGGGUUCACAAAUAUAACUGUAAAUGAGUUUGGAAAAGUUGAGAGGGACGUCAUGUAGGAUAUUGAACAUGAUAGCUAGGUCUCUCUC
rnacentral:lncRNA from 1 species